CCCGGCGUAGCUCAGACUGGUAGAGCGGCGGACUGUAGAUCCGCGUGUCCCCGGUUCAAAUCCGGGCGCCGGGA
rnacentral:tRNA from 1 species